rnacentral:ncRNA from 1 species
UAAAGCGGUACGCGAGCUGGGUUUAGAACGUCGUGAGACAGUUCGGUCCCUAUCCGCUGUGCGCUAGGAGUCUUGAGAAGGGCUGUCCCUAGUACGAGAGGACCGGGACGGACGAACCUCUGGUGUGCCAGUUGUUCUGCCAAGGGCAUGGCUGGUUGGCUACGUUCGGGAGGGAUAACCGCUGAAAGCAUCUAAGCGGGAAGCCUGCUUCGAGAUGAGGACUCCCACCUCCUAGAGAGGGUAAGGCUCCCAGUAGACG